AGGACGAACGCUGGCGGCGUGCCUAACACAUGCAAGUCGAACGGACGAGGGGAGCUUGCUCCCUGAGUUAGUGGCGAACGGGUGAGUAACGCGUGAGGAACCUGCCUUUCAGUGGGGGACAACAGUUGGAAACGACUGCUAAUACCGCAUAAUGUUAUUUGAGGGCAUCCUCGGAUAACCAAAGAUUUAUUGCUGAAAGAUGGUCUCGCGUCUGAUUAGAUAGUUGGUGAGGUAACGGCUCACCAAGUCGACGAUCAGUAGCCGGACUGAGAGGUUGAACGGCCACAUUGGGACUGAGAUACGGCCCAGACUCCUACGGGAGGCAGCAGUGGGGAAUAUUGGGCAAUGGGGGAAACCCUGACCCAGCAACGCCGCGUGAAGGAAGAAGGCCCUCGGGUUGUAAACUUCUUUUAGCAGGGACGAAGAACGUGACGGUACCUGCAGAAAAAGCAACGGCUAACUACGUG
rnacentral:rRNA from 1 species